GGUGCCAUGUGGACCAAAGCAACCAAAUGCUGUCCAAAUUACAAUGCAGGAGCUGGCAGCAGAAGGACUAGCAGCCCAGAUUCUUCCCCCUCCCAUAUCAAGAACAGAUUUUGAUAAGAUCCUUGCAAGACAGAGGCCAACAGUGAGCAAAGCUGAUUUAGAAGUUCAUGAGCGUUUCACAAAGGAAUUUGGAGAGGAAGGGUAAUGAAUACGGUGAUAUGAUUGAUCCAUACUCGUGAGUUCAACUGCAACGAUUUGUAUUUUAGUUGUCACUGCUGGUUCCAAUGAAUUAUUAUUUUAGUUUUUCAUCAAAAGGGGGAAGCUGACUUGACUUUCCCUUUGUAUUACGAUUAUGAUGGGAAAACUGAGUUGGAUACUUGUUAAAUUGCUUGUUUCAAAUUUGUGUAAAGAAGAUUUCUAGAAAUAUCAUCGCAGAAUGUUA
rnacentral:misc_RNA from 1 species